rnacentral:lncRNA from 1 species
CUUGAUAGCUCUCACUCAGGGGAACAACAUGUCCAAAUUUCAGCCCAUUCGGUUGAGGGGUUCGGGAGUUAUGGAUCUUUGAAGUUUUGACCGACCGCACAGGUUUUCUAGCCGAAAAGAGUUCCAUAAGUUUUGGCCUUGCGGUCGGUCUCCGUUCGUGCAUUAAAACCCCACGAACCCCUUGCCAUCCACAGUCAUCCUGGUGUUCGCUAGAAUCCCCAUGUGAGCUUAAACAAAACUACCGAACGGCCGGUUGUUCGGUAGUUCCAGC